ensembl:rRNA 5S_rRNA 5S ribosomal RNA
UAUGGCCAUACCACUCUGAGUGUGCCUGAUCUUAUCUGAUCUUGGAAGCUAAGCAGUGUUGGGCUCAGCUAGUACUUGGAUGUGAAGAUUUUGAUAGAAAUUGUAUUGAAUCCAUAU